rnacentral:rRNA from 1 species
UACAGAGGUCCCAAGCGUUGUUCGGAUUCAUUGGGCGUAAAGGGUGCGUAGGUGGCGCCGUAAGUGGGGUGUGAAAUUUCGGAGCUUAACUCCGAAACUGCAUUCCAUACUGCGGUGCUUGAGGACUGGAGAGGAGACUGGAAUUCAUGGUGUAGCAGUGAAAUGCGUAGAGAUCAUGAGGAAGACCAGUGGCGAAGGCGGGUCUCUGGACAGUUCCUGACACUGAGACACGAAGGCCAGGGGAGCAAACGGG